rnacentral:lncRNA from 1 species
GGCCGAACCCACAGCAUAUGGAGUUUCCCAGGCUAGGGGUCAAAACCACCAGCCUCCAAACAGCUAAAGCAACUCAGGAUCCAAAACUCAUCUGCAAUCUACGUCACAGCUCAUGGCAAUGCCUGAUCCUUAACCCACUGAGCAAGGCCAGGGAUAGAACCUGCAACCUCAUGGUCACUAGUUGGAUUUGCUUACACUGCACCAUGAUGGGAACUCCAUCCAAGGAUAUUUUUAAUGUGAAUUCUCUGUAUCCACUGAAUUUACAACAGAUUGUAUAUAAAUCGCAACUGCAUUCUAGACAAAAUUAACUAGAGACCAAAUGGCAUCAUAAAUAUUACUGCUAGGUUUUAUCUGCAUUUAAUUUAGGAAUAUUGAGUUCCAUUAGGGUAUAUCCUUAUUAUUUUUUAUUUUAUUUAUUCUUUUAAAAUUUUGUAUCAAAGAAUACUUGAUUUACAAUGUUAUUCCAAUUUUUGCUGUACAGCAAAGUGAUCCAGUCAUAAAUAUAUGUACAUUCCUUUUCUUACAUUAUCUUCCAUCAUGGUCUAUCUGAAGAGAUUGGAUAUAUAGUUCUUUGUACUAUACAGUAGGACGUUACUGUUUAUCCAUUCUUUUUUUUUUUUUUUUUCUUUUUUUUUUUUUUUUUUUUGUCUUUUGUCUUUUUGUUGUUGUUGCUGCUAUUUCUUGGGCCGCUCCCACGGCAUAUGGAGGUUCCCAGGCUAGGGGUUGAAUCGGAGCUGGAGCCACCAGCCUACACCAGAGCCACAGCAACGCGGGAUCCAAGCCGCGUCUGCAGCUUACACCACAGCUCGCGGCAACGCCAGAUCCUUCACCCACUGAGCAAAGCCAGGGAUCGAACCCGCAACCUCAUGGUUCCUAGUCGGAUUCGUUAACCACUGCGCCACGACGGGAACUCCCACUGUUUAUCCAUUCUAAAUGUUAUAGUUUGCAUCUACCAACCCUGAACUUUCAGCCCAUCAUACUCCCUCUCCCUCCCCUUUGGCAACAAAUCUGUUCUCUAUAUCUGUGAGCCUGUUUCUAUUUUGUAGAUAGGUUUAUUUGUGCCAUAGUUUAGAUUCCACAUAUAAGUCACAUCAAAUGAUAUUUAUCUCUCUUUAUGACUUCACUUAUUAUGAGAAGCUCUAGUUGCAUCCAUGUUGCUGCAAAUGGCAUUACUUCAGUCUUUCUCAUGGCUGAGUAGUAAUCCAUUCUACAUAUGUACCAUGUCUUCUUUAAUCCAUUCAUCUGGCAAUGGACAUUUAGGUUGUUUUCACGCCUUGGCUAUUGUAAAUAGUGCUGCAAUGAAUAUAAGGGUGCAUGUAUCUUUUUAAUUAUAGUUUUUUCUGAAUAUAUGCCCAGGAGUGGGAUUGUUGGAUCAUAUGGUGGUUCUGUAUAAGUUUUCUAAGGUACCUCCAUGCUGUUUCCAUAGUGGUUGUACAUUCCCACCAACAGGGUAGGAGGGUUCCCACAUAUCAAAAAAUAGUGGUACUGCACAGUUCCACAGCCUGACAGUAAACGUCACUCUGUUAAAGAAGGAAGGUGCAUGUUAAUUGAGGACACUGCAGACUAAGGAAAAAGAGCCAGAGGAGCUGAAAAUAGAGUAAAUGUGCUCCCUGUGUGCUCUUAGGCUAAUCACAUAACCUUUCAGAAUCCCAGUUGUCUCAUUGGUUAAUAAGGGAUAACAGUACCUACCUUGCAGAACAGGGUUGGUGGAUAGGACUAACAUCAAAGAAAAGCUUAGCUCAGGCCUGGGACCAAGGAGGUGGCAGCACAGAUCUCCAACAUCAUCCAGAGGCAGGUAAUGAGGCUGGGAGGGGAACCUGAUCAGUCCUCACCCCCUAAACUCAGCCAACUGGAGAAAAUAUAUGCUAUCACAAUUAAGAGCCUAAGAACCUUAACGGCUGUAAGCUACCUGUGUGGCCAUUAUCUGCCUUAUUCUCAUGAGGAGGAAAGGAUUUAUUUACAAUGUAUUUUGGGAAAGUUUGUGAUCUCCUCAAGGCCAGGAAAAACAAUCGUUUUAUUAAUUUUUAACUCCCCAGGGCUAUGUGACUGGUAAGAGGUAAAAUUACUAUUCAAACUCAGACAGUAUGGCCACAGAACCAGAACUCUUAACCACUUCACUAUACUUCCUCUGGGAACCAGCCCUGAAUUACUUGUAAAGGCUGCAAAAUGACAUUAUGGUAUUAAUGGCAUUAAUAAGUCUAAAACAGCCAAACUCAGAUUUUGAUUUGGUUGUUGGAACCAAAUUCAGCUAGAUCGCUGAGCUCUCUAAUUAACUCCAAACUCAUCAAGCAGUGGCUGAGAAGAGUCCUCAGCCAUUUUAAGUGGGUGUACUUCAAAAGCCAUGGCUGAGGGAACCGAAGAUGGCGGAAUAGAAGGACUGGAGCUCAACUUCUCUCCUAAAAACAAAAAAAUUCACAACUAAAGACUGAGCACACUUCACCAAAAUGGACCGGAAACCUUAAAAAAGAUACCCUACUCCAGAAGAAAAAGAGGACACAUCAAGAGGUAGGAGGGGUGAUUUCACGAUAUAAACAACCCCAUACCUCCUGGGUGGGAAGCUCCAUAGACUGGAAAAUAACUGGUUCACAGAGACUCAUCUACAGGAGUGAGAGUUCUGAGCCACACAUCAAACUCUCAUGUGUGGGGAUCUGGCACAGGGAGAAAGAGCCCCGGAGUAUCUGGCAUUGAAGGCCAGUGGGGCUUGUGUGCAAGAGCUCCACGGGACUGGGGGAAACAGAGACCCCAUUCUUAAAAGGCACACACAGACUUUCACGUGCACUGAGUCCCAGGGCAAAGCAAAGUCUCCAAGGGAAUCUGGGUCAAACCUGACCACAGUUCUUGGAGGACAUCCUGGGAAAACAGGGGUGAAUGUGGCUUGUUGUGAGGGAAGGACACUGAAGGCAAAGCUCUCGGGAAUAUUCAGCAUUAGUGACUUUCUCUGGAGGUGGCUAUUUUGGGAAAAUCUGGCCCCACCCAUCAGCCAGCCACUGAGAAGCCCCAGGGCAAACAACCCAGGUGGGAUCACAGCCCCACCAUCAAUAAACAGGCUGCCUAAAGACCCCUCAGUCACACAGCUGCCACUAAUCCCAUCCAGAGACUAAGCCCCACCCACCAGAGGGAUUAGAAUCGGCUCCUCCUACCAGGGGGCAGGCAUCAGCCCCUCCCAUCAGGAA